AUUGAACGCUGGCGGCAGGCUUAACACAUGCAAGUCGAGCGGGGGAGGUUGCUUCGGUAACUGACCUAGCGGCGGACGGGUGAGUAAUGCUUAGGAAUCUGCCUAUUAGUGGGGGACAACAUUCCGAAAGGAAUGCUAAUACCGCAUACGUCCUACGGGGGAAAGCAGGGGAUCUUCGGACCUUGCGCUAAUAGAUGAGCCUAAGUCGGAUUAGCUAGUUGGUGGGGUAAAGGCCUACCAAGGCGACGAUCUGUAGCGGGUCUGAGAGAAUGAUCCGCCACACUGGGACUGAGACACGGCCCAGACUCCUACGGGAGGCAGCAGUGGGGAAUAUUGGACAAUGGGCGGAAGCCUGAUCCAGCCAUGCCGCGUGUGCGAAGAAGGCCUUUUGGUUGUAAAGCACUUUAAGCGAGGAGGAGGCUCCUUUAGUUAAUACCUAAAGAGAGUGGACGUUACUCGCAGAAUAAGCACCGGCUAACUCUGUGCCAGCCGCCGCAGUAAGAC
rnacentral:rRNA from 1 species